AACUUUUAACAUUGGAUCACUUGGCUCUCGCAUCGAUGAAGAACGCUGCGAAAUGCGAUAAGUAAUGUGAAUUGCAGAAUUCAGUGAGUCAUCGAAUCUUUGAACGCACCUUGCGCCCUUUGGUAUUCCGAAGGGCAUGCCUGUUUGAGUAUCAUGAACACCUCAACUCUUCAUGGUUUUCCAUGAUGAGCUUGGACUUUGGGGGUCUUGCUGGCCUGCGGUCAGCUCCUCUCAAAUGAAUCAGCUUACCAGUGUUUGGUGGGCAUCACAGGUGUGAUAACUAUCUGCGCUUGUGGUUUUCCACCAAGUAACCUUCAGCAGUGGAGGUUCACUGGAGCUCACAGAUGUCUCUCCUCAGUGAGGACAGCCCUUUGAAUGUUUGAUCUCAAAUCAGGUAGGACUACCCGCUGAACUUAAGCAUAUCAAUAAGCGGAGGC
rnacentral:misc_RNA from 1 species